rnacentral:tRNA from 1 species
GGAGCCAUGGCAGAGUGGUAAUGCAGCAGGUCUUCUAGGCUGGACCUGUCUACCGCCAAGCGGCACAGGGGUUCAAUUCCCCUUGACUCCU